rnacentral:rRNA from 1 species
GUGCCAGCCGCCGCGGUAAUACAGAGGUGGCAAGCGUUGUUCGGAAUUACUGGGCGUAAAGGGCGCGUAGGCGGCCUCGCAAGUCCCGUGUGAAAUCCCUCGGCUCAACUGAGGAAUGGCACGGGAAACUGCGGGGCUUGAGUUCGGGAGAGGGAAGCGGAAUUCCGGGUGUAGCGGUGAAAUGCGUAGAUAUCCGGAGGAACACCGGUGGCGAAGGCGGCUUCCUGGACCGAUACUGACGCUGAGGCGCGAAAGCUAGGGGAGCAAACGGGAUUAGAUACCCGAGUAGUCC